GUCAAUUCUUUAUACGUCGUAUGUAUUGCGAUCGAGUGUUCGUAGACAGACUCAUGUUUCUUUGAGUGUACUAUUAAAUACUAAACUAUAAAUAUAAAUAUAUAUUGAAAAUGAAAAAUAAAUUAAUUUCAACACUCGCAGUGGUUUUUUUUGUUACAAUUAACUUUUCACGUACUGAGGCUAUAACGAUUGAAUGUAGAGCAAAUGAAAGAAUUCGGAAAAGCAAUUGCCAAAAGUUGUGCCUCUAAAACAGCUCUCAGUAAAGAAUUACAAGAAGCUCAUCGCAAUGGAGAAUUUCCUGAAGAUGAAGCCCUGAAGUGCUAUCUCGGUUGCUACUGUAAAAUGUCAAAAAUAGCAAGAACUUAUUAGUAUUUCUAUUUUAAUAACCCAUUCGAAAAAAAUAUAUAUCCGGAUAUAUCCGGGCAAAUCUGGAAUAUGUCGCAUAUAUGCAACAUAUAUAUAAAUAUAUGUCUCAUAUAUGCAAAUUUGCCCGGAUAUAUAUUGUUUUCGUAUGGGAAGAAUUAAAUAGCAGAUAAAUAGAAAAGAAUUUAUUUUUUAGUUUGAUCAUUUUCUGUUUGAAGGCUGAUAUCUCUGCGACAAAUCGUCCUACGAGGUUAAAAAAAAAUCAAAUUGAAGCUGAAUAAAUUUGCUAAACGAACUAUGCAUUCGUUUAGUUGAAAGAAUUUUUUCGCGGUCCGUGGGCUCUUCGGAAAAAAAAAAAAAUUUAGAAAUUUUUUGUCUCGCGGCAUUUCUCAUGUUUGCGCAAUAACCGGAGCUUUUAAAAAAUUUUGAAAAAAAAUGCACCAAAACUAGAGAUUUCAAGCUGUAAAAUGCUUUUUUAAAAUUUCGAUACGAUCAGUUUUUACCAAGUUACAGCCUUCCAAAAAUCACUUAAAAAUUUAUAAAAUUUUUCUGCUCCUCUAAUUUUUUGCAUUAGUGUAUUAUUUGCGAUAAAUAUCUACAUUGGUGAAAUUAUUAUUCGUGAUCACUUCUUAUUAUUUUAGCGUUGAUUACUUAUAAUUAUUUGAUUAUUUGUAUUUAAACACUGGUGAUUUAUUGCGAAAAUACUGUUUGUGAGUAUUUAGUAUUUUUGCUGGAAAUAUUUAUUAUUAUUAUCAGCGAUCAUUUACAUAUUUAUUAUUAUACAGCGAUUAUUUUGUUAAUGCGUUGAAUAUUUACAAUUGUUUAACGUAUUAUUUAUGCGUAUUGUUUAAUUCCAACUUGUGGUUAAAUUAUAUUUGGAGUGCGCAACAGUAUUAUUUAUAAUUAUUUAUAUCUAAUUGCUAUCACAUGCGAGUGAUGACAAGCCGUUCAAUUAUUAGAAUUAUUAUUUUUUUGCUUUACUUGACCAUUAGUUAAGCGUUUAUUUUGAAGUGAAUUAUUAUUAAUUGCAUUAUUGUUAUAUUAAUACCCGAUGGGACUGAUGUUAUAGUUUAAAAUAUAUUGGGUUGAUAAAUGGCUACCAACCUGG